rnacentral:rRNA from 1 species
UACAGAGGGUGCGAGCGUUGUUCGGAAUUAUUGGGCGUAAAGGGCGCGUAGGCGGUGCGGUAAGUCACCUGUGAAAUCUCCUGGCUCAACUGGGAGCUUGCAGGCGAAACUGCCGUGCUGGAGUGUGGGAGAGGUGAGUGGAAUUCCCGGUGUAGCGGUGAAAUGCGUAGAUAUCAGGAGGAACACCGGUGGCGAAGGCGGCUUUCUGGACAGUAACUGACGCUGAGGCGCGAAAGCUAGGGGAGCAAACAGG